rnacentral:rRNA from 1 species
AUUGAACGCUGGCGGCAUGCUUUACACAUGCAAGUCGAACGGUAACAGGCCUUCGGGUGCUGACGAGUGGCGAACGGGUGAGUAAUGCAUCGGAACGUACCCAGAGGUGGGGGAUAACGCAGCGAAACCUGUGCUAAUACCGCAUGUGAUCUGAGGAUGAAAGCGGGGGACCGAGCAGCAAUGUUUGGCCUCGCGCCUUUGGAGCGGCCGAUGUCGGAUUAGCUAGUUGGUGGGGUAAAGGCCUACCAAGGCGACGAUCCGUAGCUGGUCUGAGAGGACGACCAGCCACACUGGGACUGAGACACGGCCCAGACUCCUACGGGAGGCAGCAGUGGGGAAUUUUGGACAAUGGGCGCAAGCCUGAUCCAGCAAUGCCGCGUGCGGGAAGAAGGCCUUCGGGUUGUAAACCGCUUUUGGCAGGAACGAAACGGUGUCCGCUAAUACCGGGCGCUAAUGACGGUACCUGCAGAAUAAGCACCGGCUAACUACGUG